GUUGUGUUGGUUCAAUAUAUACUAAAAUUUGAAUAAUACAGAGGAGACUAGUAUGAGUCCUGUGCAAGGGUGAUACAGAUUAUCACACAUUCCAUUCAAAGUGAA